rnacentral:misc_RNA from 1 species
UGUAGGAGCUGGCUUGCCAGCGAUAGCGGUGGGUCAGCCAAUGAAUUUAUUGACUGGCAAUCCGUCAUCGCUGGCAAGCCAGCUCCUACA